rnacentral:rRNA from 1 species
UAGGGAAUCUCCCUUCAAUGGGGGCAACCCUGACCGAGCAACGCCGCGUGAGUGAAGAAGGUUUUCGGAUCGUAAAGCUCUGUUGUAAGUCAAGAACGAGUGUGAGAGUGGAAAGUUCACACUGUGACGGUAGCUUACCAGAAAGGGACGGCUAACUACGUGCCAGCAGCCGCGGUAAUACGUAGGUCCCGAGCGUUGUCCGGAUUUAUUGGGCGUAAAGCGAGCGCAGGCGGUUUGAUAAGUCUGAAGUUAAAGGCUGUGGCUCAACCAUAGUUCGCUUUGGAAACUGUCAAACUUGAGUGCAGAAGGGGAGAGUGGAAUUCCAUGUGUAGCGGUGAAAUGCGUAGAUAUAUGGAGGAACACCGGUGGCGAAAGCGGCUCUCUAGUCUGUAACUGACGCUGAGGCUCGAAAGCGUGGGGAGCGAACAGGAUUAGAUACCCNGGUAGUCCACGCCGUAAACGAUGAGUGCUAGGUGUUGGAUCCUUUUCCGGGAUUCAGUGCCGCAGCUAAACGCAUUUAAGCACUCCGCCUGGGGGAGUACGACCGCAAGGGUUGA